rnacentral:lncRNA from 1 species
GCAGCCGCAGCCCCUGGCGCUAACGGUCGGUAACGGCCCGCGCGCGCCGCCCGCCGGGGGCUCGCGCCAGCCACGAGGGAGCGUCCGCGGCCCGCGCGCCCGCGCGGCGGAGGAGAGGUGUUAAGUGUGAUGCUUCCAUAAUACAUUUGGAUGCUGUCAGCUAAGUUCACUUCUGAACUAAGGGGUUCCUCCAAAUGUUGGCUGAAAUUCAUCCCAAGGCUGGUCUGCAAUUACCUAUUUCUUUUAAGAAUAAAUUUAGUGGGAAUAUCAGUUCCAGUCAUGGGUACCAAACUUUUUUAGUGACAGAGUACACACAGAGUCUGCAAUUCAUAAUGGAGCUACUGUACUGGCUAUUGGAAGGAGGAGAUUCUGAAGAUAAGGAGGUAAAACCUGUUUAGAAAUUAAAAAUGAGUUACGAUUUAAAGAAAAUUCAGAUGACUCAUUGUGAGUGCUAGUUCUCUUGUAGGAUGCCACUGGAAAUGUUGAAAUGAAAAAUAUUCAGCCGUUGGUCUUUGAAAUUUCCUGUGAUGUGUUUCAAUCUAGAUGCAAAGAACAUGGAAAAAUCAAAGUGCUCGAGUGGUUUAAAUAUGUUUUGGGUAUUCCUGUUUAUAGACUAUAAUACUUUUCCAAUUAAAAUCCUCAGUUGUCACGCAGAAGAAGGUUAAGCUGUAUUUGAUUGCCAGUUUUACUGAAAAUGCUUAGUAUUUUACAGUAUCACCAAAUAUAUUUUGUUUAGCCAAGGUAUAGGAAAAAUAAAAUAAAUUGUAUAGGUUGACUUUUUUCUAAAAUGUCUUUAUUGGAUUGAAUGAAUGUUUAUACCUGAAAAAAAAAGGUUCAAAAAAA